GGAGCAAACAGGAUUAGAUACCCAGGUAGUCCACGCCGUAAACGAUGUCAACUAGCCGUUGGAAUCCUUGAGAUUUUAGUGGCGCAGGUAACGCAUUAAGUUGACCGCCUGGGGAGUACGGCCGGAAGGUUAAAACUCAAAUGAAUUGACGGGGGCCCGCACAAGCGGUGGAGCAAGUGGUUUAAUUCGAAGCAAAGGGAAGAACCUUUCCAGGCCUUGACAUUCAAUGAAUCCUUUAGAGAUAGAGGAGUGCCUUCGGGAGCAUUGAGACAGGUUGUGCAUGGCCGUCGUCAGCUCGUGUCGUGAGAUGUUGGGUUAAGUCCCGUAACGAGCGCAACCCUUGUCCUUAGUUACCAGCACGUUAAGGUGGGCACUCUAAGGAGACUGCCGGUGACAAACCGGAGGAAGGUGGGGAUGACGUCAAGUCAUCAUGGCCCUUACGGCCUGGGCUACACACGUGCUACAAUGGUCGGUACAGAGGGUUGCCAAGCCGCGAGGUGGAGCUAAUCUCACAAAACCGAUCGUAGUCCGGAUCGCAGUCUGCAACUCGACUGCGUGAAGUCGGAAUCGCUAGUAAUCGCGAAUCAGAAUGUCGCGGUGAAUACGUUCCCGGGCCUUGUACACACCGCCCGUCAAUCAC
rnacentral:rRNA from 1 species